rnacentral:rRNA from 1 species
UACGUAGGCAGCGAGCGUUGUUCGGAAUUACUGGGCGUAAAGAGUGUGUAGGCGGUGCUCUAAGUCUGGUGUGAAAUCUCCCGGCUCAACUGGGAGGGUGCGCCGGAAACUGGGGUGCUCGAGUGUGGGAGAGGAAAGCGGAAUUCCUGGUGUAGCGGUGAAAUGCGUAGAUAUCAGGAGGAACACCUGCGGUGUAGACAGCUUUCUGGACCACGACUGACGCUGAGACACGAAAGCGUGGGUAGCAAACAGG